UACGUAGGAGGCGAGCGUUGUCCGGAAUUACUGGGCGUAAAGCGCGCGUAGGCGGCACUGUACGACCGGUGUGAAAGCCCCCGGCUCAACUGGGGAGGGUCACUGGUAACGGCAGCGCUGUGAGUGCAGGAGAGGGAAGUGGAACUCCGGGAGUAGCGGUGAAAUGCGUAGAGACCCGGAGGAACACCAGUGGCGAAGGCGGCUUCCUGGCCUGUAACUGACGCUGUGGCGCGAAAGCUAGGGGAGCAAACGGG
rnacentral:rRNA from 1 species